CAUCUGCUAGAUUUUUAUUAAAGUAACAAAAAAAGGUGUACAUUUGUCCAUAAACCUGUACAUUCUUCCAUAUAAAACACUAUUAUACAAUUAGUAACCUUUGUCUUUUCUAUCAGAAUAGCUUACAAACUACUAUUAUUUAUUUUUACUUAAUAGGAGAGACAGGCCUGCUCAACAGUCCAGCUCUGGGUGUUUUGUUGAUUUUAAAGUGAACAUCAAAAAGAAGAGAGAAAAGAUUAAGCAUGAGACUAUGAGGCUGCUUAUAAUCUGCAGUGAUUCACAGCUUUGUUUCAACCCACAGGCCAGAAAAUUAGCUCUUGGGUCUGUGGGCCCAAAGUUACCUUUAAAGCAAUAAAGACUGGAAACAGGGGCUGGGAUGGUAGCUGGGGAUCUGGAACGUUGAAGAGGCAGAACUGGCAGGAAUGGGUAGGGAAAGUGUUUGGUAAAUAGCACCUUUGAAUCAGAACUGAGUAGUUAAGAAAUCCAGGAAAGGGGACUGGCAGUGGGGAGGAAGUUUUCUCCACAAGGGGCAAUGGCAGGAGGGUAGCCAGGUUGACCAGAUGUUCUAGCUCCAUCCUUCUUGAGAUGGUCUUGGGUUUGCGAUACUCAAGGCCUUCUGAGGACCCCUCACUAAUACCACUGAAAACCUGAAGGAAGAGGAUUUCUUCCCAGUGUAGUUUUGCAUUUUUCUGCAACCCAAAACAGUAAAUAUUGCACAAGUCUACAGACAAAUUUGGAUUGUACUGAGAGACGGCAACAUCUCCCACAGGUGCUCUGAGCACGGGGAAGAAAAAAACAAUGCCCAAGGUUUGGCUUUUAGUGUCAGCCCUACAAAAAUACCAAGUAGUCCUGCAGAACUUGGGGCAUUCUCCCAUUCGGCCAAGGAAUACUGCAAGGCUGAGGAUCCAGCCAUAGUCCCAAGGACAGAGGGAGAGAUGGUUCCCUAAGCCUGCCAAGGCACCAGAAGGUUGUAAGAGCCAGUUCUCCUCCAGACCCUCCUGGGACCCAAGAGGCCAUAUUGCACAGUGACUGAGAACUUUUGUCCUAGAAAACAGGGUAACUGCAUGACCCAACCAGGAGGGGAGAGGAGCAGGGAGAGUUAGAGAGGAGUGUUGUGCUUUUAAAAAGAAGGCAGUAAUCAAGGAUGUGGAGUUCCCUGUAACUUUUGAGCCACCUCUCCAAGGGAUAAUGGUAGCAUCGCCAGGACUUUCACGUAGUUCCAAAAAAAAAAAAAAAAAAAAUUACCACAUAUACACAUAGAGCAGCACAUAGCAAGGCAAAGAUUUCGUGCAGAGUACCCUUCUGUCCCAACUCCAAUAACCUGCAACCCCUGCCUCACUCCCCUGAACCCCCAAACAAAAAGCUUUAUAUUCUUGGUGGGUAGCAACAUCCAUAGGCCCCUGAGAAUAGAAUUAGAAAUAAGUCAUGAUUUUAAGAAAAACUGUUCAGGACAGAAGGAAUCAAGAGAGGCUUUUUCACUCUCUGCCUAGGAUCUCAUUAGAAAAAUAAAAGAGAAAGAUUAGGCAAUAUAGCAUAAUUUAAGUCCAGGUUUGAAUGCCCCUGAGUAAGAGAGGGGCUGGGGAUGCAGGUGUCCUGGUUAGAAGAGGGAGAGGUUAGAACUCAGCCUCUCUUCUCCAUCCAGGACAGAUCCUGACCUCUCUCAUUCACAGUUGCUAACCUUGCUUGCUCCUUCUCACAACUUCCUGGGGUGCUAGCCAAGCCUCUCCCCCAUCACCUUGACCAGACCCGCCCCCUGAACUUUCCCCCCUCCCAUAGGCAGACACUGGCUCCCAGACUCAAGCGCACAACGAUUCUCUCCAAAGGCACCUGGGGAGGCCACUUCCAAGCAGCUCCCUUUAAGGAUUUUUUUCUUAAAAAAAAUCUUUUGGUUUUUUUUUUUUCUCCUCUUUUCUUAAAAAAAAAAAUAAUAUAUAUAUAAAUAGCUCUUCAUUUAAAAUACAGUUCCCCAGGUUGAGGUAUGCAAUGGCCUGUUGUCACGGCAGGCAGAAUGAGUACAGUAGAGUGCCAGGUGGGGGCCACAGGGGAUCUAACUGGAGACCGCCAUGACGUAGUUCUUCGAGGGGCUGCUCCUGCCCAGCAUCAUUUGGUUCUUGCAGGUGAGGAGCCCAUAGGAGGUGGCCACCGGGGCCUCCUCGUACAGGAC
rnacentral:lncRNA from 1 species